rnacentral:rRNA from 1 species
UACGUAGGGGGCAAGCGUUGUCCGGAUUUAUUGGGCGUAAAGAGCGUGUAGGCGGUUAUGCAGGUCCGCUGUGAAAACUGGAGGCUUAACCUCCAGACGUCGGUGGAAACCGUAUGACUAGAGUCCGGAAGAGGAGAGUGGAAUUCCUGGUGUAGCAGUGAAAUGCGUAGAUAUCAAGUGGAACACCAGUGGCGAAGGCGAGUCCCUGGACGACUCCUGACACUGAGGCACGAAAGCUAGGGGAGCAAACAGG